AAAAAAAAAAAAAAAUAUUUCAAUCACCACCCUUGUGUAUUCACAUUUUUUUUUAUUUUAGUAUUCUGUGAUUUAAAAUAUAUCAAUUUAGUAUCCUGUUAUUUUAUUUUUAUUUUUUUUCUUAUCAAUUUCACUAAUUUUUUUCAUUAAAUUAACUAUAAAAUUAAAACUAAAAGGUACUAAAGUGAAAUUUAGAUAGGAUAUCUGAAGUUUUUUUUAUAUAAUUUAAAGAAAUAUUAACGAAAAAGCUAAUACAAAGAUAAAAAUAAAACCAUAGGAUACUAACUUAAUACACUUUAAAUUAAAGGAUACUAAAGUAAAAAAGUGCGAAACCACAGAGGUGGUAUUUGAAGUUUAUUCUAAAAAUAUAAAAAGCCAAUAGAAAUUACGGUCUGUUUAGUUCAACAUCAAAUUGUAAAAAAUAAUUUUUUAUUAAAAAAUACUUUUAGUGAAAAAAAAUACUUUUUUAUAGUAUUUGAUUUAUAAAAUAACAAUAAUAUUUUUUUUAUCAAUAUUUGCUUGGUUGAGGAAAAAAAUUAACAUUUAUUUGAUUUGGUGGAAAAAAUAAAUAAAUAAAUUUUACGCAGCUUAAGUUUAGGUUUUUCGCCAAAUAACAGCAAAAAAUGAAAUCUUCAAUUCUUUUUCAAAUAUGUAAAAAUACUUUUAUAGAAAAAUAUUUUUAUGUUAAACCAACAAAUAGAAAAUUAUUUUUCAUAACGAAAAUAAUUUUUCGAUUCGUUUUACGCCGAACCAAACGCCCUUUGUCGAAACUAUAAAUAAUUUUGAAUCCGUUAUCCAAACUUUAAAAUUUUAACUUUAUUAUUUUAUCUUUUAAUUUAUUUAAUUAGAUUCAACCGGCGAUACUUUAAUUUUAAAACUAAUUUAUUUAAUUGGAUUCACCUUUAUUAAUUAUUCGCUAAUAAUUAUUAUAUAAUUUUAUCUAACGAAAGAAUUUAAAUAAUUAAAUAUGACAAAGUUUUGUUAAAUAUCUAAUUCAAUUAGCUAUAACUAUUUAAACAAAAAAAAAGGAGGUAUCAACUGAAAAAAAGGAAAAAAAACAAAAAAAAAAAAAGCAAGCAAUGCAUAUGGAGACCCCUGAACAACAGACUUUUUGAAAUGGCUCCCCCAACUUUCUGUAUUUAAUUGAUCUUCUUUGUAUAAGUACUGCAGUCAAUUUAGACAUAGUUUCAAUUACUGCAGUUGAGGAUUCUCGUGCAGUUGCAAUUAUAGUAAUUGAAUUCAAAUGAAGAAUUAAGCUCCUGUGCUUUUAAAAGCAUACAAAAGCUUAAUGUGCUUAUAAUUUUUUAAGUAGUUAAUCGUCCUUAAAAUCCGUGCAGCACUAAUACAGAAGAUUUAAUGGAACACACCGUAAUAAUGCUGCAUAGUAUUUUGAGGCGGUAAAAUGUGUGCAAGAAGAUGGAUUUGAUUUAAGGUUGUGGGUCCCUGUGUUAGUUUGUUUCUAAAAAAAAAGUGAGUGUAUUAAAUAGAGGAAAAAUAAAUGGAAAAGAUCUAUGAGCUGUGGGGAAAAGUACUUUUUUUCCUCCUCCUCUUUUUCUUUUCUUUUGGUUCUCUCUUUUGGCUUUUCCACUUGCUUACUCCCCAAGCAUGCUUUAUGAGUGGGAAGGCUUAUCUAUAGGCUUUUGGGUUAAUUAUACUAUUGGUCUCCAAUCUUUUCAACAUUUUACAAUUUGGUCUCUAAUCUUUUUUUUUAAAAUUAAGUUUAUAAUCUCUUAAUUUCAUUGCAAUUAAGUUCCAGCCAUUACAUAGGUGUUAAAAUUGACGAAAAAUACCACGUCAAUACCAUGUCAGUGCCACGGAGGCGCCGUGUCGGCGCCACGGUGGCACUGUGUCAGUGGAUUGCAAAAAAAAAAAGUUGGGGACCAAAUUGAAAAACGUUGCAAAAAUUGGGGACCAAUGGUGUAAUUAACCCAUUAAAUUUAUAAAUUCAAAGCAAGAUUUUUAAUUUAAGAUUUAAAUGUAAAAUUUAAAAUUUGAUUUUGGAUUCAAAUUUAAAUUUGAAUUCAAAUUCCGAUUUUGCAUUUAAUUUUAAAUUUUUUAUUUUUAAUUCAAAUUCACAUUUCGAAUUCUAAAUUCUAAUUUAAUUUCAAACUCGAUUUGAAAUUUCAAAUUCAAAAUGUGAAUUUGAAUUCGAAGUUUAAAUUCAAAUUUAGAAUUGAAAUCAAAUCUUAAAUUCAAAUUUAAAUUUUGAAUUCAAAUUUAAAAUUUAAAAUCAAAAUUUUGAAUAUGAUUUUAAAUUUAAAUUCAAAUUUUAAAUUUAAAUUUCAGUUUCAAAACUUUCAUUUUAAAUGUAAAUUGAAAUAUCAAAAUCAAAAUCAAAAUUUUAAGUUUGAAUUCAAAAUUUAGAUUCAAUUAAAAAUUUAAAUUUAAAAUUUGAAUUUCAAUUCAAAAUUUUAAUUCAGCUUUAAAUUCAAAUUCAAAAUUCUAAUUUCUCAUUAGUUUAAAAUUUUAAUUUUAAUAUUAUUUUUUAAUUUAAAUUUAAAAUUUAAAAUUUUUAUUUUUAUGGACUAAAAUGAAAAACAUGCAAAGUUUAGGGACCAAAAUUAACAUACAAAAGGAUGUCAAAUAGGCGCUGAUGAGGCAAUUUUGUUAAUUUUAACAGUUUUUUUAACGGCUGGGACAUAAUUGCAAUAAAAUCAAGAGAUUAUGGACUCAAUUGCAAAAAAAAGGUUGGGGACCCAAGUGAAAAUUGAUGCAAAGGUUGGAGACUAUGAUUUUUGAACUUGCUUUUGAUUUUAGCUUUUUCUUUUUUAAAAAAAAAUUAUUAGAUAAUUCAUAGAUCAAAUAAAAUUUUAGGAGAUCCAAGANAUUCAAAAUUUAGAUUCAAUUAAAAAUUCAAAUUUAAAAUUUGAAUUUCAAUUCAAAAUUUUAAUUUAGCUUUAAAUUCAAAUUCAAAAUUCUAAUUUCUCGUUAGUUUAAAACUUUAAUUUUAAUAUUAUUUUUUAAUUUUAAUUUAAAAUUUAAAAUUUUUAUUUUUAUGAACUAAAAUGAAAAACAUGCAAAGUUUAGGGACCAACAUUAACAUACAAAAGGAUGUCAAAUAGGCGCUGAUGAGGCAAUUCUGUUAAUUUUAACAGUUUUUUUAACGGCUGGAACAUAAUUGCAAUAAAAUCAAGAGAUUAUGGACUCAAUUGCAAAAAAAAGGUUGGGGAUCUAAGUGAAAAUUGAUGCAAAGGUUGGAGACUACAGGUGUAAUUAUCCUAAGAUUUUUGAACUUGCUUUUGAUUUUAGCUUUUUCUUUUUUAAAAAAAAAUUAUUAGAUAAUUCAUAGAUCAAAUAAAAUUUUAGGAGAUCCAAGAGUAAACAAGCCAAUAAUUUUAAUUUUUUUAUAAAUUGACAGGACAAGUGAGUUGAUCCUAUCCACCCAUAGGUUCAAGUUUAGUUUAGGGUGUUUGGCCCGGCUUUCUAAAAGUGAUUCUGAGCUUAAAAUUUAUUUUGGGCUUAGUAAAGUAUUUAGCAAUAAAAGUUAGAAAAAUUGAUUCUACUUUUCAAAAUAAAAAAACUGACAACUUAUUUUCCUUGGCCUCAGUACUUCUCAUGCACUAAUGGAUAAACUGUCACCGCAUNNNNNNNNNNNNNNNNNNNNNNNNNNNNNNNNNNNNNNNNNNNNNNNNNNNNNNNNNNNNNNNNNNNNNNNNNNNNNNNNNNNNNNNNNNNNNNNNNNNNUUUAUAAAAUAAUAAUAAUAAUUUUUUAUCAAUAUUUGCUUGGUUGAGGAAAAAAAAAAUGGAAAAAAAAGAAUAAAAAAAUUUUACGCACUUAAGUUUUCGUUUUCCGCCAAAUAACAGCAGAACAUGAAAUCUUCAAUUUUUUUUCAAAUUCGUAAAAGUACUUUUGUAGAAAAAUAUUUUUACGUUAAACCAACAAAUAAAUUAAAAUAAACACCGAACUUGAAUUUACACAUAGUUAUAAUUACAGUGUAGCUGAAAUUACGUGCAAUCAAACAAUCUUUAAUUAGUUUUUAUUAUGUGUGCAAGAAGAUGGAUUUGAUUUAAGGUUGUGGGUCCCUGUGUUAGUUUGUUUCUGAAAAAAAAAGUGAGUGUAUUAAAUAGAGGAAAAAUAAAUGGAAAAGAUCUAUGAGCUGUGGGGAAAAGUAUUUUUUCUCUUUUUCUUUUCUUUUGGUUCUCUCUUUUGGCUUUUCCACUUGCUUACUCCCCAAGCAUGCUUUAUGAGUGGGAAGGCUUAUCUAUGGGCUUUUGGGUUAAUUACACUAUUGGUCUCCAAUCUUUUCACCAUUUUACAAUUUGGUCAAUAACUUUUUUUUCUACAAUCAAAUUUAUAAUCUCUUAAUUUUAUUAUAAUUAAGUUCCAGCCGUUAGAUAAGUGUUAAAAUUGACGAAAAAUACCACGUUAAUACCAUGUCAAUGCCACGGAGGCGCCGUGUCGGCGCCACGGUAGCGCUGUGUCAGUAGAUUGCAAAAAAAAAAUUAAGGACGAAAUUGAAAAAUGGUGCAAAGAUUAGGGACCAAUGGUGUAAUUAACCCAUUAAAUUUAUAAAUUCAAAGCAAGAUUUUUAAUUUAAGAUUUAAAUUAAAAAUUUAAAUUUUGAUUUUGGAUUCAAAUUUAAAUUUGAAUUCAAAUUCCGAUUUUGCAUUUAAUUUUAAAUUUUUUAUUUUUAAUUCAAAUUCACAUUUCGAAUUCUAAAUUCUAAUUUAAUUUCAAACUUCGAUUUGAAAUUUCAAAUUCAAAAUGUGAAUUUGAAUUCGAAGUUUAAAUUCAAAUUUAGAAUUGAAAUCAAAUCUUAAAUUCAAAUUUAAAUUUUGAAUUCAAAUUUAAAAUUUAAAAUCAAAAUUUUGAAUAUGAUUUUAAAUUUAAAUUCAAAUUUUAAAUUUAAAUUUCAGUUUCAAAACUUUCAUUUUAAAUGUAAAUUGAAAUAUCAAAAUCAAAAUCAAAAUUUUAAGUUUGAAUUCAAAAUUUAGAUUCAAUUAAAAAAUUCAAAUUUAAAAUUUGAAAUUUCAAAUUCAAAAUUUUAAUUCACUUAAAUCAAAUUCAAAAUUCUAAUUUCUCAUUAGUUUAAAAUUUUAAUUUUUAAUAUUAAUUUUUAAUUAAUUUUAAAAUUUAAAAUUUUUUUUUUUUAAUGGACUAAAAUGAAAAAACAUGCAAAAGUUUAGGGACCAAAAUUACAUACAAAAAGGAUGUCAAAUAGGCGUGAUGAGGCCAAUUUUGUUAAUUUUAACAGUUUUUUUAACGGCUGGGCAUAUUCGCAAUAAAAAUCAAGAAGAUUAUGGACCUCAAUUGCAAAAAAAGGUUUGGGAACCCAAGUGAAAAUUGAUGCAAGGUUUGGAAGACCUAUGAUUUUUGAACUUGCCCUUUUGAUUGUAAGCUUUUUCUUUUUUAAAAAAAAAUUUAUAGAUAAUUCAUAGAUUUUCACAUAAAAAUUUUUAGGAGAUCCAAGGUUAAACACAGCCCAAUAAUUUUUAUUUUUUUUUAAAAAAUUUAACAGGACCAAGUGCAGUUGAUUCUAUCCACCAAUAGGUUCCAAUUUUAGUUUAGGGUUUGGCCCCGGCCUUUCUUAAAAAGUAAUUCCCCCUGAGCUUUAAUUUUAUUUUGGGGCUCAGGUAAAGUAUUUAGCAAUAAAAGGUUAGAAAAAAUUGAUUCUACUUUUUCAAAAAUAAAAAAACUGACAACUUAUUUUCCUUGGCCUCAGUACUUCCUAAAUGCACUAAUGGAUAAACUUAUCACCACAUGGUAUGAAAGAGCAAACUAGCAAACUAUUUUGAAAGUGAAUCUUAAACCAACUUUAUUUAAAAAAAUAAAACCACAAUUUACCAAAACCCAACAUAAGCAAACUCCACUAUCCCAAACAGGGAUUGCAAACCGGGGAGUGAUCUGGGGGGGCUGGAGCCCCGCCCGCCUCCCCCACCCCCCGAUUAGCAAAAAUCCGCCGCUCCCAACCCCGAAGGCCCGUUGGGCGUGUUUAGAAAAAUACUCCCACUAAUCCGCCCCUGCCUUGUACCCGCCUCCCGUCGGCACCCGAAUCCCACCCGCAACUAAUAUUUUUAUAAAAUUAUAAUAUUGUUAAUAUUUUGUAAAAUAUAAAAUAAUAAUUUUUAAUAAUAUUAUAUAUAUAAUUUAACAAUAUCAAUUAUAAAAAUAAAAAAAUAUCAAUCGUAAUUCAAAAUAAAAUUCAAAAGUUUCAAAUACAUUAAAAAUGAAAGUACUAAUUUAUUUCUAUUUUAAACUUUUUUGUAAAUACAUUACUUUUUAGGAAUAUUUUUUAAAAAUAUAAAUGAUUUUUAGGGCGGAUCAUGGCGGGGCGGAUUGAGGGUGGGUCAAAAUUUCUCUCGUUUCCUGCCCCGAAUCCAUCUCGGAUCGUAAAAUUUACCCCGAAUCCGUUUAUUUUCUCCCAUUUACCGCCCCGUCGAGGCGGAUCGGGGCGGGAGCUCCACCAACCCAGAUCCGUUUGCAUCCCUAAUCCCAACCAACACUAGCAAGUAUUAUGAUCUAAACACAACCAAUUAUCUAAUCACUCAUAGAGAAAACAAAUAUAAAUAUUUCAAAGUAACCAAUCGUUCCUAAAGCAAGUGACAAAGGGCUUGGUGGUUGGUACUCGAGACCCAAGUUCGAAUCCUAGUUGAUUCACAUUUCUAGGUAAGUUUAUUUAUAAAUAAAAUAAACGAAGCGGGUAGCGUGCUAUCUAUCUCUCAAAAAAAAAAAAAAAAGAAGAAAUAUUUCAAAGUAAGUGCAAACCAAUCAUCCAAACAGUGAAAAUCUACUUAACCUCGCAUCAAUCCUAAUCAAUCCUAAGAUUGCUGAAAACAAAGUUAGAAUCAAAACAAAGAUAAAACCCUAGGGCUUUUCCUGGAAGGAGAUCUAGGGUUUCUCAUGACGGGGUCGGGUGAGCAGAGUCAGAAACCAGCAACAAACAAAGUGGGAGCGAAGUGAGCUCAGAGAGAAAGAAAUGAGGGAAGAGAGAAAGAGAAAGAAAACAGGGCGAGUCCACGCAAAGCCAGUAAUGGAAAGGUCAGGUAAGGGGGAAGUUCAUGGGGCUCGCUAGUCGACGUGCCAUGGCGAGUAGACAACGAAGCAGUGCCGAAGAAAAAGAGAUGUGAGGAGAUAGGGGAAGAGCAAGGGAGUCCUCCAAGCCCUAAUCCGUGCCAACCCGACUCGAUCCGGCCCUCCCCAAUCAAGAGAGUUCUUCUAGGGUUUCUAUUUAUGUCGAUCUCUUUGGAUUUAUAAAAAAAGAAGGUAAUCGUCUAUUAAUCUAUAUGAAUUUCCAAUAUUUUGCCACGUGGCAAGUUUUCCUUCACCUGAACUGAUCUUUGCUUUUAGCUUUUCCUCUCCUCUCCUCUCUUCUCUAUGCAAUGACCUGUAAUAAAUGUGCUCUUUAAUUUAUACAUUUCUGAUUAUUUUCUCUUUAAUAUUAGUCAUUUCUUCUUCCUCAAACAAUUUAUAACCUGCAAAAUAAAAAAAAGGAAAAGAUGAAUAGUUACUACUUUCAUAUCUAGAAAUUGGGGAAGAGCAAGGGAGUCCUCCAAGUCCUAAUCCGUGCCAACCCGACAUGAUCCAGCCCUCCUCGAUCAAGAGAGUGCUUCUAGGGUUUCUAUUUAUGUCGAUCUCUUCGGAUUUAUAGAUAAAGAAGGUAAUCAAAUGACUUUUUCAGUAGAGGAAGCUAAUUGGACAAUGAUAAUGUACGAAUCGAGGGAUAGGUUUGGGAAACAAAAACCCUAAACUUAAUUUUUCUUUUCUUUAUUUUAAUCUCAAAUUCUUACUAUGUAUCUAUUUAGGAUUUAAUUUAUUUGCAUUAUUUUUGAUAUGGUGGUUGUAACAAUCAAGGAUUUGAUUUAUGUGCAUUAUUUUGAUUAAUUUAAAGGUUAGUUUUGAUUUCAUAAUUGAUGUGGCGGUUAUGGCCCGCAACUUCUGACCAUCACAUGCCCAACCAAAAGAGUGCAAAAUCCUGCAAACUUACAUNAUCAUAUGCGUAGGCUCCGUUUAGGAUUAUAAAGAGAUAAUAUUACAUGAGGUGGAAAAAGUAUGAAAGAAAAAUAUUCGUACUGCUUCGGUGUCUAAAAUUACAUAGAAGCAUUUUUUUCAUACUUUCAUCCCAACUCUAUUUAAUCUAUAAUAGUGUUAAAUAAUCCUCAAAUCAAAUGAACUCAUAAAAUAAUUUCCUUGCAAUCUCAAACGAAGGCUUAAUAGUUUUUUUAAAAUUUUAAAAGUAAUAUAUAAAUAAUAAAUAUAGUUGAGGGCGUGCUUGUUUUUGUAAAUCUUUGAUGUUGAGCUUGUGGCUUCGAGAAAGUUAUUAAUGUCGGCGUUUAUUUCAAAACUGAAGUCACGUGCUGACCUAAACUCUCACUCAUAAUUAUAUAAAAAAUUAGGUGGAUCGUAAACACUAACUAACUGUUCCAAAAGCAUGUGCUAAUAGGAAUGACAAACUGAUAGCACUUAUUAAGGGUCAACGGGCUUCGACGUGACUCAACUCACCUGGAUCAACCCACCUAGAUAGUGGGUCUAUUGUUGAGUCUCUUACUGUUGGGUUUAUUUUGGAUUGCAAUCACACUCAACCUUUUGGGCUCAUCCAACUCAGCUUAUUAGUCUUCUGAGCCUAUUGUAGACCCGGCAAAUGGGCGGUUUGGAAAAUCCACACGCGGGCCACCAUACUUGUAGGUUGUUUGGGCAUGAAUAAAUGUUACCCGCAAAUUUUUGUGCAUCCAAUAUUCUUACCUAUACUUGUGGGUAUGUGGGUUACACAUAGGGUGCGUUUGGUUCGGGUUAUCCUGCCAGAAUUAUAGGCAAUCCUGUCAGGAUUAUUACAUUUGGUUCAUCCGAUAUGUAAUUUAGUCAGUGAUGUAGCAUUACAAAUAGUGCAGGAUUACACUGAAAAUAUUACCAAGAGUGGAGAGUGUGUAUGUUGAAUUACCAAAAGCGGUUAAUUUUACAUACUAGUAUAGGACCCGCGCUUCGCUGCGGUAAACGAUUAAUUUUAUAUUAUAGUUAAGUAAAAUUAUAAUUAAACAAUUAAGUAGAAAAAUAAAACAAAGAAACUUAGAGUUAAAAGAAAGUAAACAAAAAGAAGUUUACCUAAAUAUUGUGUUUUUCUUCUUUUGCCAAGAUAAGAAGAAAAAUACAUGCCCAGAACUAUUUAACGAAAAGAAAUUCACCUAGAUAUUGUAUUUUGUGGUUAAUUUUACACUAUGGUUAAGAAAAAUUAAGAAUAAAUAAAAUAAAAAUUGAUCAUAUGCUUUAGAAAAGUUGCCAAAAAAAAGAACAAAAAUUAAAGUAAAAAAAAAUAAUCAGAGAUUCACCUAGAUAAUAAUACUUUUUAUUAUAAAAAAAAAUAUUUUGAAAUUUCAUGUUGAGGAAAAAAAAAUAAAAAAUAUUAUAUAUAAAAAAAAAAACAGAUAAGAAGUUGUGAAGUUAUACUUCAGAUCUUUUUUUUUUUUGAGGGUAUAUGAGAUUUUUAGAAUGUUUCAGUGCGUUCUCUCUCUCUAUAUAUAAUCGGUUUUAUUCAAUUAGUAAUUUCAGAUGAGAGAAAAAAUAUAUUAAACUAUCGAAUAAAUUUUAGAAUGCCAAAUUGUUAUUUUGAAUAUUUUUAAAAAAUUUAAAUUUCAAAGUGAAUAAAAAUGAUAUUAAAGUUUAAUAUUAAAAUCAAAUUAAUAAUAUAUAAAAUAUUUCUGAACUAUGUAUGAACUAUUUUGAUUUAGCCAUUAAUAUUAACUAUUNAUAAUACUUUUUAUUAUAAAAAUAAACAUUUUGAACUUUUCUGUUGAGAAAAAAAAAUAAUAAAAAAACAUUAUAUCAGAAAUAAAAAAAUAAUAAUAAUAAGAAGCUGUGAAGUUAUACUUCAGGCCUCUUUUUUCUUUUUUGAGGGUAUAUGAGAUUUUUAGAAUGUUUUAACUGGUCGGCAUUCUCUCUCUCUCUAUAUAUAAUCGGUUUUAUUCAAUUAGUAAUUUCAUAUGAGGGGAAAAAUAUAUUAAACUAUCGAAUAAAUUUUAAAAUGCCAAAUUGUUAUUUUGAAUAUUUCAAAAAAUUUUAAAUUAAAAUUUAUUGCUCAUUGAACUAUAAAUAUGAUAUUAAAAUUUAAUAUUAAAAUCAAAAUAAAUAAUAUAUAAAAUAUUUCUGAAUUGUAUAUGAACUAUUUUGAAUUAGCUAUUAAUAUUAACUAUUAACUAUUUUUAUUAACUGUUCACUCAAAAGUGCACCGGGGGACGGGGCAUACGUGGUUGUUACUGAACCUAAGAUUGAUUAAAUAAUAAAUAAUUAAUAUUAUAACGUGGUUUGUUAAAUCCAAGUGCCCUGAUGUGGCGACCACACAUUUUUUUUCUAACUCUAUGUUGAGAAGUUUGAUUUCAAUUUUUCUAUACUCUAUUAUUGUGUUUAUACUGUUUGCUUGGGUGUAAUCUCAUCGUGCUUCUCAGAGCACGCAAUAAGAGCGACAACACAGUUCACUUCCAAACUUUUUGCUUUGAGCUCGAGAUGACCAAAAAAUAUACAAUGGUAUUCAAGCAUUCAUAAUAUAUAUGCCCCGUUUGGUUGGGGGAUAAGCGGGGAUAACGAAAGUUAUCCCCGCUAUUCCGCCAAACGGGGUGAAAUUUGACCGGAAUAUUUUAUCCCGGUCAAACCUUGCUAUUCCCGGUUAUCCCGGAAUAGCAAGGAAUUUGCUAUUCCACCAUUUUGGUGGAAUAGCACUAUUCCAAUGCUUAAUUUCAAACUUAAUUAAAAUUAUAAAUUGAAUUAAAACUAAAUUAUAUAAAUAUAAUAUGUUAUAUAUUAUAAUAUAAUAUUUUUAUUAUAAAAUUAUUAAUUGUACUAUAUUAAUACAUAUUAUUUAUAUUUAAAUAUUAUAAUAAAAUUUAGG
rnacentral:lncRNA from 1 species